rnacentral:rRNA from 1 species
UCGGGAAUUUUGGGCAAUGGGCGAAAGCCUGACCCAGCAACGCCGCGUGAAGGAUGAAGUAUUUCGGUAUGUAAACUUCGUAAGAAUAGGAAGAAUAAAUGACGGUACUAUUUGUAAGGUCCGGCUAACUACGUGCCAGCAGCCGCGGUAAUACGUAGGGACCAAGCGUUGUUCGGAUUUACUGGGCGUAAAGGGCGCGUAGGCGGUGUGUCAAGUCAGUUGUGAAAUCUCCGAGCUUAACUCGGAACGGUCAACUGAUACUGUCACACUAGAGUACAGAAGGGGCAAUCGGAAUUCUUGGUGUAGCGGUGAAAUGCGUAGAUAUCAAGAGGAACACCUGAGGCGAAGGCGGGUUGCUGGGCUGAUACUGACGCUGAGGCGCGAAAGCUAGGGUAGCAAACGGGAUUAGAUACCCCGGUAGUCCCUGAGCGGGCUGGCAAGGCGC